rfam:Acetobacteraceae bacterium SCN 69-10 ABS99_C0111, whole genome shotgun sequence.
AUGGCAUCCGAGGGGUGCCCCGCCAGGGGGCUGAGAUACCGACGGCUCGCGAGAGCAGCGCGGUGACCCUGAGAACCUGAUCCGGUUCAUGCCGGCGUAGGGACGGGAAGACAGCACAGC